rnacentral:snRNA from 1 species
UUGCUCCCUUCAGCAACACAUAUCCUAAAAUUGGAAUGAUACAGAGAUUAGCAUGACCCCUGCACAAGGAUGACGUACAAAUUCAUGAAGCAUUCUGUAUUUUA